AACCCUAAUCAAUAGACCCCCGGCGUAAAACGUGUUUAAGAGUCUUAACUAAUAAAGUCAAACCCUAGCUACGCUGUAAAAAGCCCCAGCUACCGUAAGCCCCACCACGAAAGUGACUUUACAUAAUCUGAAGACACGACAGCUAAGACCCAAACUGGGAUUAGAUACCCCACUAUGCCUAGCCCUAAACCCAGAGGAUCUCUCUAACAAGAUCCUCCGCCAGAGUACUACAAGCCAAAGCUUAAAACUCAAAGGACUUGGCGGUGCUUUAUAUCCCUCUAGAGGAGCCUGUUCUAUAAUCGAUAAACCCCGAUAAACCUCACCAACCCUUGCCAACU
rnacentral:rRNA from 1 species